AUUGAACGCUGGCGGCAUGCCUUACACAUGCAAGUCGAACGGCAGCACGGGAGCAAUCCUGGUGGCGAGUGGCGAACGGGUGAGUAAUAUAUCGGAACGUGCCCAGUCGUGGGGGAUAACGUAGCGAAAGCUACGCUAAUACCGCAUACGAUCUAUGGAUGAAAGCGGGGGAUCGCAAGACCUCGCGCGAUUGGAGCGACCGAUAUCAGAUUAGGUAGUUGGUGAGGUAAAGGCUCACCAAGCCGAGGAUCUGUAGCUGGUCUGAAAGGACGACAGGCCACACUGGGACUGGGACGCGGCCCAGACUCCUCAGGGAGGCAGCAGUGGGGAAUUUUGGACAAUGGGCGCAAGCCUGAUCCAGCAAUGCCGCGUGCAGGAAGAAGGCCUUCGGGUUGUAAACUGCUUUUGUACGGAACGAAACGGUCCUGGUUAAUACCUGGGGCUAAUGACGGUACCGUAAGAAUAAGCACCGGCUAACUACGUGCCAGCAGCCGCCGUAACAC
rnacentral:rRNA from 1 species